rnacentral:SRP_RNA from 1 species
GCCAGGCAUGGUACUACAUGCCUGUAGUCCCAGCUACCUGGGAGACUAAAGCAGGAAAAUUGCUUGAGUCCAGGAGUUUGAGGCCACAGUGAACUAUGAACAUGCCACUGCACUCUAGCCUGGGCAACAGGAAAUAGAGUGAGACCCCAUCUCAAAAAAAAAAAAAAAAGUUCACCAUCAAUAUGUUGACCUCCCAGGAGCAGGAGACCACUAAGUUGCCUAAGGAGAGGUUAAUCGGCCCAAGUCAGAAAAAGAGCAGGCCAAAAAUCCCAUGCUGAUGUGUAGUGGGCUAACACUUGUAAAGCCACUGUGCUCCACCCUGGGCAAUAUAACAAGACCUCAUUUCUU